CUACGGGAUGCACCAGUGGGGAAUAUUGCACAAUGGAGGAAACUCUGAUGCAGCAACGCCGCGUGGAGGAUGACACUUUUCGGAGCGUAAACUCCUUUUAUAUAGGAAGAUAAUGACGGUACUAUAUGAAUAAGCACCGGCUAACUCCGUGCCAGCAGCCGCGGUAAUACGGAGGGUGCAAGCGUUACUCGGAAUCACUGGGCGUAAAGAGCGUGUAGGCGGGUUAAUAAGUCAGAAGUGAAAUCCUAUGGCUCAACCAUAGAACUGCUUUUGAAACUGUUAACCUAGAGUGUGGGAGAGGUAGAUGGAAUUUCUGGUGUAGGGGUAAAAUCCGUAGAGAUCAGAAGGAAUACCGAUUGCGAAGGCGAUCUACUGGAACAUAACUGACGCUGAGACGCGAAAGCGUGGGGAGCAAACAGGAUUAGAUACCCGGGUAGUC
rnacentral:rRNA from 1 species